UAUUGUUUGGAACUUAUAUUAAGUUGGGUAAAUUUAUAAAAAUUUUGGUUGCGAUGUGAUAAAUUAGUCGUUGAAUUUUAUAACUGUUUGACUGUUUUAUAUUUAUUUCUUAUUACAUAAGAGGUUAUGAGAUCUUUUAUGUUUUUAUACUCUUUUUGAAGUGUUUAUUAAAAAAAGGUUAGGAUUACCUAUUUUUUAUGAAAUUGUUAUAAAUUUUAUUGUUUAUUGUUUGAGGAGUUUAGUUUAUAGACAGUCUUUGUAUUAAUUUUAUGUUAUAAUAUAUCAUUAAAUAAGUAAUAAUAUUAUACGAAUUGUUUCUCGAGUUUUGUCCGUCUGUUUAUUAAAAACAUUUCCAAUUUUAAAGUUAAUUGGUAGUGCCUGCUCUAUGUUUAUUUAAAAAUAAAUGGCCGCAGUAUUUUGACUGUGCGAAGGUAGCAUAAUUAAUUGCCUUAUAAUUGAAGGCUUGUUUGAAAGGUUUGACGUGAUAAUAAUGAACAUUUUGUGUUUUUGUGAAUUUAGUAUUGAGGGUACAGAAUCCUCAUAGUUUAAUUAGACGGAAAGACCCCGGGAUCUUUCUUUUUUGCUUGGGGCAAGUUUUAUUGUUUUAUAAAUAUUAUGACCCUUAGUAUAAGGUUUAGUGAGUUAAGUUACCCCGGGGAUAACAGUGUAAUAGUUAAUAAGAGAUCGUAUCGAAUUAACUGUUUGCUACCUCGAUGUUGACUUAGGUAUAGAUUAAAGUGCAGUAAUUUUAAUAUUGGGU
rnacentral:rRNA from 1 species